GCAUAUCCAUUCUCUCUCCCUGAAGUCCUUCCCUCUCCCCACCCCUAAUCACCAAAGAAAAUACUUCCCCUUACCCUCACCCUCAAACCAAGAUCACAUCCAAAAUGUUUCCAAAGCCAAAGAGAGAUUACAACCAUUAAUUAGAAUGAAUACCCCUGACUUAGCAGCAACAACAGGAGUUCCAGUUAACUCCAGUAGCAGAAGCAGCACAGAGAACUUCAUGCCAGGCUCCAGGUAUGCAUUAGGAGUGAAAGUGGGCAGCCUACAUGAGAAAUACUGUGCCUAAAAUAGAAGAGAAAAGAAGAAAACCGUGAGGCAACAAGCAAGAAAGAGAAUUGGCUACAAGCAGAAGCACUUCAAAUCAAAACCUCCUCUGAGAUGUUAAAGAUUAUCCCCAUCUUUGUGUCUACAAAUAAGUACCUUGAAAGCGAACCAGAGUGGUAAAGCAGCCAUCAGUUUUGAAAAAUACAAAGUGCUGGAUAAUAAUGAGGCUAGGUUGCUGGAGUUUAAAAUGCCUUUAAACACAUAUCCUGGAUGGUCAGACAUCAAACCACUCCCUCCUCAAGGCAAAGAGAUGAAGUGAACUGGAGCUGGCUGUGACCUUGUGAACUCCAAUAUAUCAGGCAAAUGAGCCACCAGGAGGUCAGGGACUGGAGUCCAUGCAAGACUUUGCAGUCAGUCAGAACCAAGGAGGAGAAUGACAGCUGAGAUGGAGACUCAUCCAACAGCAAUGCUAUAUUUAGAUAUGAACUUGGUGGUGCAAAUGCUAUGUAGCAACUGUGUUAAGGCUGAGUCACCUUUCCCCAGGAACUGACAUGGUAGAAGGUAGAAGGUAUACCUUAUAGUACAAGGUAGAGUAUACCUCACCCCUCAAAGUCUUAGAGGGAAAAGUUUAUACUUCUGUUUGGAUGUAUUUUUCAUGUGAAUAUCCUAUUGUAAAAGUUAAUUGAUGAUAAUUGGUAAAUGGAUUUGGGGAUUAAUGACCGCUGUUAGUGGUGGGAACCCACUGGAAUUCUAGGCUUAACAUCUUAGGGGUACCCCUGGAACACAAUGUGGGGGUAAGAGGAAUAUAGCCAGCCUAGCUCAGAGGCAAUGAAUCCAAAGCAACUUACUAGAGAUCACACAAGCUUCAAAUCCUGAGCCAAAUAAUAGUUCACUAAAGAGUGAGUCUAGGCAGGAAAGAGCUCUGGACAGAAUGUGCUCUGACAGUUGAGAAAAGAGAGAAUUUCCCCUUUCCUUUUGGGUGGGAGAUGAUUUCUCUUCCUUCCCUCCCCUCUGCUCCACCAGGGCCAUGGUAUCUUUCAGCUGACCUACUCUCUUAACUGUAGACACCAGGUGCCGGACCCAAGUAGCUUACUAAAUCAUCAUGCCAAACAGAAAUGCUGAGCCCUGGGACAGUAUCAUGGCACCACAAGAAGAAAAAGCAUAUCCUAGCACUGAGCUAAUUAUGUCCCUGGCUAAUUAUUAAAAUUAAAUGUACCAAUGGGGGCUCAUGAGCUAAAAUUUUAGAUGUGCAGACCCACAGAGCAUCUUAAACCUGGUAGUAAUUUCCAGGGAUACUCAACCUACACAUUUAAGUUGGGAAAGGGACAGUUCUGGGCACUGAAGAAAAAAAGAUUUUUUUAAAAAGUCUCUGACCUUAAGGAGACUUUGCUGGAAGGCACAAUCUAUAUAUGGAUAUGUACUUAAAAACUGGGAGAUUCAGGAAACUCUUCCUAUAAGGGAUGCAACCUUGAAGAAAGGUAAGGAUUCUAAGAGGUAGAAAUGAGGAGGGACACAUUCCAGGCAUGGGGUAAAGCUUGUACAAAGUCAUAAGUAAAUGCCAAGUUUCAAAGGAACAGCAAUUUACAAUUUGACUGGAAUAUUGAGUGUAUGAAGCAAUGUGAACUAUAUCUGAAAAGGUAAGCAAGAAUCAGUUUGUGAAGUGUUCUAAUUGCCAGGAUGUAAUUUGUAGUUGACCCUUAAUUCAAUAGAGAGCCACUGGAGAUGCAAGAGAAUAGCAAAUCAGAUCUCUGCUUUUGGAAUGUCAUUUUUGACAAUUGUCUAGAGGAAAAAUUGAUGAGGGAAGAGGUUGAAAGCAGGAAGACCAAUUUCAAGGCCAUUUCAACAGACCACCACAUGACCUGAUAAGGACCUGAAUUAGGAUGGAGUCUAAAAAUGGAAAGAAGGGAACAGAUGCAAGAGGUGUAGUAGAGGUAAUUUUUACAAAGCUUGGCAACCUAUCAAGGGAGAAGAAAUAGUCAAAGAUGACUGAGGUGUUGAAUCCUGAUGACUAGAAGGAAAGUGGUGCCUUCAGAGUGCCCAGCACUUUGCACAAUAUUGAUUGAUUGAUUGAUUAAUAUGAGAAAUUUUGGAAGAAGGCUGGAAUUGGAGAUUGGAGGGAGAAGAUGAUGAGUUUUUUUGGACAUAUUGAAUUUGAGAUACCUACUGGUCGUCUAGGUAGAGAUUAUCACCAGGCAGUCUUUCUUUCCUGGAGUUCAGCAAAGAUACUAGAAAGGCUCCAUCUUUCCUGUUAGCCAGGUUUGCAACUUUGGAAUCACCUCUGACUCCAUUCUCCAUUAUUACCCCCUCCAUCUAUUUAAACUAUUACCGAUCAAUAAGCAAUUAUUAAGUGCCUACUAUAUGCCAGAAAAGGUGCUAGGCACUGAGAAUAUAAAUGAAACAAUUCCCACUCUCAAGGAGUUUAUGUUUUGUAGUGUCAAGUCUUGUUAAUUCUAACUCCAUAAUAGCUCUCCACGUUGUCUCCUCUUCAUUUACAGUCACUAUCCUGGCCCAGGUCAUUAUCACCUCUUACUAUUGCAAUAGCUUUCUUAUUGUUUCUCACAUCCCCAGGCUUUCUCCUCUCCAAUACAUCCUCCAAAUAGCUGCCAAAGUGAUAUUUCUAAAGCAUGGUUCUGAUUAUGUCUUUCCCUUACUCAAAAGCUUCAGUGGGUCACUAUUGCCUCUGUGCUGAAACCCAAACUCCUCUGCUCAUCAUCAAAAGAUCUUCAUAAUCUACCCAACUACUUACCCUACCUUUACAAAUGUAUCCAAAUUUAUCCCAUGUCACUUCCCUGAGUCCAGCUAGCAGUCCAGCUAAACCGAUCUAUUUGUUGUCCUCUACGUAGAACAUUCUACAUCCUAUGUCUCCCUGUUUUUGCACAAACUGCUCCGCUACAAGGCUAAGAAUGGAUUUCUUCUUUAUCUCUUUGCCCCUUAGAAGACUCAGAUCCCUUCAAAGUUCAGUUCAAGCACCAUCUCCUACAUUUGGAUUUUCCUUACGUCUCAACAAACUACCUUGUAUUUAUUUUGCAUAUCUAUUUUGCAUUUACUAAUAUUUGUACAUGUUUCAGCAGCAUCUAGGGGGUAUGAUGGAUAGAGAGCUACACUUAGAGAUAGGAAGACAUGAAUUUGAAUCUUGCCCCAGAUAUUUACUACCUGUGUGCCAAGGCAAGUCAUUUGGACUCUUUCAAUGUCAGUUUCCUCAUCUGUAAAAUGGGGGUAAUAAUAGUACCUACUUCACAGAAACAUUGUGAGGAUCUAAUGAGAUCAUAUGUUUAAAGCUUUUCAUAAACCUCUAAGUGUUAAUGUUAGUUAUUAUGAAUAGACAUGAUUGUAUCCCCAUAGCCUGUCACAGUAGCUCUAACAAAAAAAAAAAAAAGAUUGUUCCUGGGGGAGGGGAGGAGACUGUUGAAGGAGAACCCUGCUCAAUUUGAUAAGCUCUCCAAUCAA